UGUGUUAGUGGAAGCGUCUGGAAAGUCGCGCGAUACAGGGUGACAGCCCCGUACACAAAAGCGCAUGUGUUGUGAGCUCGAUGAGUAGGGCGGGACACGUGGUAUCCUGUCUGAAUAUGGGGGGACCAUCCUCCAAGGCUAAAUACUCCUGACUGACCGAUAGUGAACCAGUACCGUGAGGGAAAGGCGAAAAGAACCCCGGCGAGGGGAGUGAAAAAGAACCUGAAACCGUGUACGUACAAGCAGUGGGAGCACCCUUCGGGGUGUGACUGCGUACCUUUUGUAUAAUGGGUCAGCGACUUAUAUUCUGUAGCAAGGUUAACCGAAUAGGGGAGCCGGAGGGAAACCGAGUCUUAAUUGGGCGUUAAGUUGCAGGGUAUAGACCCGAAACCCGGUGAUCUAGCCAUGGGCAGGUUGAAGGUUGGGUAACACUAACUGGAGGACCGAACCGACUAAUGUUGAAAAAUUAGCGGAUGACCUGUGGCUGGGGGUGAAAGGCCAAUCAAACCGGGAGAUAGCUGGUUCUCCCCGAAAGCUAUUUAGGUAGCGCCUCGUGAAUUCAUCUCCGGGGGUAGAGCACUGUUUCGGCUAGGGGGCCAUCCCGGCUUACCAACCCGAUGCAAACUGCGAAUACCGGAGAAUGUUAUCACGGGAGACACACGGCGGGUGCUAACGUCCGUCGUGAAGAGGGAAACAACCCAGACCGCCAGCUAAGGUCCCAAAGUCAUGGUUAAGUGGGAAACGAUGUGGGAAGGCCCAGACAGCCAGGAUGUUGGCUUAGAAGCAGCCAUCAUUUAAAGAAAGCGUAAUAGCUCACUGGUCGAGUCGGCCUGCGCGGAAGAUGUAACGGGGCUAAACCAU
rnacentral:rRNA from 1 species